CUAGCUGUAAACGAUGGAUACUAGGCGUUGAGAGUAUCGACCCUCUCAGUGUCGUAGCUAACGCGUUAAGUAUCCCGCCUGGGGAGUACGCGCGCAACGCGUGAAACUCAAAGGAAUUGACGGGGGCCCGCACAAGCGGUGGAGUAUGUGGUUUAAUUCGAUGCAACGCGAAGAACCUUACCAGGGCUUGACAUGUCCGGAACCCUGCCCAAAGGCGGGGGUGCCUACGGGAACCGGAACACAGGUGGUGC
rnacentral:rRNA from 1 species